AAAUUGAAGAGUUUGAUCAUGGCUCAGAUUGAACGCUGGCGGCAGGCCUAACACAUGCAAGUCGAACGGUAACAGGAAGAAGCUUGCUUCUUUGCUGACGAGUGGCGGACGGGUGAGUAAUGUCUGGGAAACUGCCUGAUGGAGGGGGAUAACUACUGGAAACGGUAGCUAAUACCGCAUAACGUCGCAAGACCAAAGAGGGGGACCUUCGGGCCUCUUGCCAUCGGAUGUGCCCAGAUGGGAUUAGCUUGUUGGUGGGGUAACGGCUCACCAAGGCGACGAUCCCUAGCUGGUCUGAGAGGAUGACCAGCCACACUGGAACUGAGACACGGUCCAGACUCCUACGGGAGGCAGCAGUGGGGAAUAUUGCACAAUGGGCGCAAGCCUGAUGCAGCCAUGCCGCGUGUAUGAAGAAGGCCUUCGGGUUGUAAAGUACUUUCAGCGGGGAGGAAGGGAGUAAAGUUAAUACCUUUGCUCAUUGACGUUACCCGCAGAAGAAGCACCGGCUAACUCCGUGCCAGCAGCCGCGGUAAUACGGAGGGUGCAAGCGUUAAUCGGAAUUACUGGGCGUAAAGCGCACGCAGGCGGUUUGUUAAGUCAGAUGUGAAAUCCCCGGGCUCAACCUGGGAACUGCAUCUGAUACUGGCAAGCUUGAGUCUCGUAGAGGGGGGUAGAAUUCCAAGUGUAGCGGUGAAAUGCGUAGAGAUCUGGAGGAAUACCGGUGGCGAAGGCGGCCCCCUGGACGAAGACUGACGCUCAGGUGCGAAAGCGUGGGGAGCAAACAGGAUUAGAUACCCUGGUAGUCCACGCCGUAAACGAUGUCGACUUGGAGGUUGUGCCCUUGAGGCGUGGCUUCCGGAGCUAACGCGUUAAGUCGACCGCCUGGGGAGUACGGCCGCAAGGUUAAAACUCAAAUGAAUUGACGGGGGCCCGCACAAGCGGUGGAGCAUGUGGUUUAAUUCGAUGCAACGCGAAGAACCUUACCUGGUCUUGACAUCCACGGAAGUUUUCAGAGAUGAGAAUGUGCCUUCGGGAACCGUGAGACAGGUGCUGCAUGGCUGUCGUCAGCUCGUGUUGUGAAAUGUUGGGUUAAGUCCCGCAACGAGCGCAACCCUUAUCCUUUGUUGCCAGCGGUCCGGCCGGGAACUCAAAGGAGACUGCCAGUGAUAAACUGGAGGAAGGUGGGGAUGACGUCAAGUCAUCAUGGCCCUUACGACCAGGGCUACACACGUGCUACAAUGGCGCAUACAAAGAGAAGCGACCUCGCGAGAGCAAGCGGACCUCAUAAAGUGCGUCGUAGUCCGGAUUGGAGUCUGCAACUCGACUCCAUGAAGUCGGAAUCGCUAGUAAUCGUGGAUCAGAAUGCCACGGUGAAUACGUUCGGGCCUUGUACACACCGCCCGUCACACCAUGGGAGUGGGUUGCAAAAGAAGUAGGUAGCUUAACCUUCGGGAGGGCGCUUACCACUUUGUGAUUCAUGACUGGGGUGAAGUCGUAACAAGGUAACCGUAGGGGAACCUGCGGUUGGAUCACCUCCUUACCUUAAAGAAGC
rnacentral:rRNA from 1 species